GUGCCAGCCGCCGCGGUAAUACCGGCAGCUCAAGUGAUGUCCCAUAUUAUUGGGCCUAAAGCGUCCGUAGCUGGCCAGACAAGUCCGUUGGGAAAUCCACGCGCUCAACGCGUGGGCGUCCAGCGGAAACUAUCUGGCUUGGGGCCGGAAGACUCGAGGGGUACGUCCGGGGUAGGAGUGAAAUCCCGUAAUCCUGGACGGACCACCGGUGGCGAAAGCGCCUCGAGAAGACGGACCCGACGGUGAGGGACGAAAGCCAGGGUCUCGAACCGGAUUAGAUACCCUGGUAGUCC
rnacentral:rRNA from 1 species